CUAGAACUAGCCGGCCACUUUGGUGCCAGCAGGGGCAGAUUCCACUGUGUUCCACCCGACACGGGAUAGGGAGCACAGGUAAGCAGGUGCAGGAGCUGCAGCAAGCACUUUUAAGCACUGGCAGGAGCAAAAUUUCAUGUGGCCCUGUGGCAGCAUCUAGGAGGAUGCCCGAGACCCCUGAAGCCCCAGAAAGAAUGUUACGCAAUAUUUCAGAUGUACCAGUCUCCUGUCCAAGAAUCCCCAAACACAGGGCAUCGACUGCCCAGCAAAAUAGAAUGAACCCCUUAUUCUCCCCUCUGGAGGCUAAGUUAAGAAAAGUGAAGAACUUCGUUUGGUUAUUCAGUCAGUUCAAUGAAGCCUAGAGUGAAGAAACUAAACAUAUAUAUAUAUAUAUAGCUUCUGUUAGUCCUCAGUAUUAAAAGUUAGCUUUUUUGUAAAAAUUUUUCAUUUUUAUAAACUUCUGAAAUGUAAUUUAAAUUUUCCUCUUUGUUGGUCAAUAUUAUCUAAUAUUAGCUAAUUAUGUUACUUUAUUAGCAAUAUUAGCUAUUUGUGUUGCAUGAUUAGUCCUUUCAUUGAUAUCACAUUUUUUCAAGUUACAGACUUAUAUCUGUAUCUGGCAUCUGCUAUGGUUUAAAUGUUUUUGUCUCCUCUAAAAUUCAUGUUAAAACUUAAUUUUUAAUGCAAGAGUAUUGGAGGAUGUGGGUCAUGAAUGGGAUUAGGGAUUAAUCCUUUAUAAAAGGACUUGAUGGAGUCCCUGUAACAGUUGGAAGCUACCUCUUUGCCCUGCUGCCUUCUGCCAUGUGAGGACACAGCAUUCUUCUCCUCUGGAGGAUGCAGCUUUCAAGGCACCAUCUUAGAAGCAGAGAUUGGACCCUCACCAGACAACUUAACCUGACAGCGCCUUGAUCUUGGACUUCUUAGCCUCUAGAACUGUGAGAAAUAAAUCUCUGUUCUUUUUAAAUUACCCAGUCUCGGGUAUUCUG
rnacentral:lncRNA from 1 species